rnacentral:sRNA from 1 species
GCCAGGCGCGGUGGCACACACCUGUAAUCCCAGUGGCUCAGGAGGCUGAGGCAGGAAGAUCGCAAGUUCAAAGCCAGUCUCUGCAACUUAGCGAGAGCCUGUCUCGA